AUUGAACGCUGGCGGCAUGCCUUACACAUGCAAGUCGAACGGCAGCAUGGAGGAGCUUGCUCCUCUGAUGGCGAGUGGCGAACGGGUGAGUAAAGCAUCGGAACGUACCGUGUAGUGGGGGAUAACGUAGCGAAAGUUACGCUAAUACCGCAUACGCACUGAGGUGGAAAGCAGGGGAUCGCAAGACCUUGCGCUAUACGAGCGGCCGAUGUCUGAUUAGCUAGUUGGUAGGGUAAAGGCCUGCCAAGGCGACGAUCUGUAGCGGGUCUGAGAGGAUGAUCCGCCACACUGGGACUGAGACACGGCCCAGACUCCUACGGGAGGCAGCAGUGGGGAAUUUUGGACAAUGGGGGAAACCCUGAUCCAGCCAUGCCGCGUGAGUGAAGAAGGCCUUCGGGUUGUAAAGCUCUUUCGGCCGGGAAGAAAUCGCACAGGCUAAUACUCUGUGUGGAUGACGGUACCGGCAUAAGAAGCACCGGCUAACUACGUGCCAGCAGCCGCGGUAA
rnacentral:rRNA from 1 species